rnacentral:rRNA from 1 species
UCGCCUGUUUAUCAAAAACAUCUCAUCUCGAAAAAUCAAGAGAUGUAGACUCUGCUCAGUGGAAAGUUAAAUAGCCGCAGUAUUUUGACUGUGCUAAGGUAGCAUAAUAAUUUGUCUCUUAAUAAGAGGCUGGAAUGAAAGAGUUGACGCCACUAAAGCUUUUUUGAAAUAAUUUUUAAAAUUUGACAUCUUUGUCAAAAGGCAAAGUUUAAAUAAAGGGACGAUUAGACCCUAUAAAGCUUUACUAAAUACUUUUUUUUUAGUUAGGGUUUAAAAUAAUUUAUUUGGUUAAGCUGGGGCGGCACAUGCUUUUGCAGCAUAAAAAUUUAACAAUUUGUUUGACAAAUAAGAGCUAUAUAAAAUAGAGGUAGAAAAAGCUACUUUAGGGAUAACAGCAUAAUUUUUUCAUAUAGAUCUUAUAGAAGAAAAAGACUUAUGACCUCGAUGUUGAAUUGAGAAACCUUCUUCGAGUAGAAACGAAGAAUUGGGGGUCUGUUCGACCUUUAAUCUCUCACGUGAUCUGAGUUCA